rnacentral:rRNA from 1 species
GAUGAACGCUAGCGGCAGGCCUAACACAUGCAAGUCGAACGGUAACAGGGAAAAGCUUGCUUUUCCGCUGACGAGUGGCGCACGGGUGCGCAACGCGUAUAGAACCUACCCUGUACAGGGGGAUAGCCCGGAGAAAUCCGGAUUAAUACCCCGUAGUAAUUAGAUUUGGCAUCGGAUUUAAUUUAAAGCUUCGGCGGUACAGGAUGGCUAUGCGUCCUAUUAGCCAGAUGGUGAGGUAACGGCUCACCAUAGCUAUGAUAGGUAGGGGCCCUGAGAGGGGGAUCCCCCACACUGGUACUGAGACACGGACCAGACUCCUACGGGAGGCAGCAGUGAGGAAUAUUGGACAAUGGGCACACGCCUGAUCCAGCCAUGCCGCGUGCAGGAAGACGGCCCUAUGGGUUGUAAACUGCUUUUAUACGGGAAGAAUAAGGGGUACGUGUACCCUGGUGACGGUACCGUAAGAAUAAGGACCGGCUAACUCCGUG